ACAGGAUGGCACUUCUAGGUGGAUUGUGAAAUACCCGAAAGCCACAGGAGGCAAUGCGGUUGCCUGUCCUGUAAAGGAGCAACCCACACAUGGCUAUGUGAAGAGACUACUGAAAGUGGUUAUGCUGUACGCUGUCACAGUGUUACGGACGAGAAGGACCACAAAUGCGAAGAAUCCGCCACCUCUCAGCAGCCGCUUUCCUAAAGCAUCAAAGGAAGAGCUUGUAAACAGGCGGAGAACAAGAUCCAACAAGUAGUUAGAUAUUAUGGUCUUGUAGCAAAAUGUAAUGAGAAUGCCAACAAUAUGAAAAGCCGGUUUGCUCCUAACACAAGCCAUUGUAGACUCAUGACACAGUGCAUGACAAACUACCUUUGUGACAGCUUCACGACAUCCAUGUAAAUAACUUUAUAAAUAUGUGUAUGCUAGGGUUGGCUGUUUUUCUAUUUUGCAUGUGUGGCAACCAGAUAAAAUGACACUGAAUAAAAUAUAUAUGUGCUUCGAAA